rnacentral:rRNA from 1 species
GAGACCCCGGUAAUCCUAGCCGUAAACGAUGUGAACUUGGCGUUGGUGGGUUAAACUCCAUCAGUGCCGCAGCAAACGCGAUAAGUUCACCGCCUGGGGACUACGGCCGCAAGGGUGAAACUCAAAGGAAUUGACGGGGGCCCGCACAAGCAGUGGACGUCUGCUGCGCUGCGUCUGCUGCUGCUGCGUCUGCUGCCAUGGUCAGUCGUCGUCGUCGUCUGCUGCCGUGCGUUGCAUGUGGUUUAAUUCGAUGCAACGCGAAGAACCUUACCUAGGUUGAAAGGCUCUCUAAACCGGUGAAAGCCGGCUACCCGCAAGGGGGGGAGUACAGGUGCUGCAUGGCUGUCGUCAGCUCGUGCCGUGAGGUGUUUGGUUAAGUCCAGCAACGAGCGCAACCCCUGGAUCUAGUUACCAGCGAGUAAUGUCGGGAACUCUAGAUCGACUGCCUACGCAAGUAGUGAGGUCAGGUCAGUCAGUCAGUACGUCAGUCAGUCACAUACUCGUUUAAGGUGGGGAUGACGUCAAGUCAUCAUGGCCCUUGCGCCUAGGGCUACACACGUGCUACAAUGGCGUCUACAACGCGCAGCAAGACCGUGAGGUGGAGCGAAUCGCUAAAAAGACGCCUCAGUUCAGAUCGGAGUCUGCAACUCGACUCCGCGAAGUUGGAAUUGCUAGUAAUCGCAGGUCAGCACACUGCGGUGAAUACGUUCCCGGGCCUUGUACACACCGCCCGUCACGCCAUGAAAGCCGGGAGUACCCAAAGCCGCCUCAUAAGCGUCUAAGGUAAGACCGGUGAUUGGGGCGAAGUCGUAAGUUGUCAUCAGUCAGCAGUCAGUCAUCAGUCAUAGCAUCGUAGAUUGCGUCAAGGUAGCCGUACCGGAAGGUGCGGC